GUUGCAGAUCGUUUCAAUAUAAAAAAAUCUAUGCUACACAAUGUUCCUGCAGAGUUGUAAAUGCUCUAAAUGAUAUAGCAGAUGAAAUUAUUGUAUGGUUAUAAGGAGAUGAACUAAUUACCAUAAGAAGAUUUAAUGAAAUUGGUAUCCUUGCAGAUGUAUAGGAUGGUUCACAUAUAUCCAUUCUUACUCCACGCGUAAUACGAGUUCUGUAAAUGAUUCAAGGAUAUUCAGAAAUUCAGAUUUAUGGAUAUUUGUACAAGAGAAUCGUGCAAAGAGAGUUCUUUUUAGGAAACGAGUAUAUUAUUGAUAAGUAUGGCAGAACUGAUUCCUUAUAUAAUAUUGACCUGUUGAGUAUUACAUAAUCUUCAAGAACAGAAUAGAUGAUUUUAUUGAAGAGGGCAGACAUAAUGAGGGAAAUAAAUAAAUUUGGGAUCAAGAGACAAUUGGCAAGCUAAGAGAAAAUAUUAUUUACAAUGAUGCACAGAGUCCAGCAAAACGUAAUUAUUUACCAGCACUAAUAGCUUGACUUAUAGGAUGUAUGUUCAAUCUAACAUCUCUA